rnacentral:rRNA from 1 species
CCUACGGGAGCCACCCAGUGGGNAAUAUUGCNCAAUGGGCGAAACCCUGAUCCAGCAAUGCCGCGUGUGUGAAGAAGCCCUGCGGGUUGUAAAGCACUUUCAUGGGGAAAGAAAAUGCUCGGGGUUAAUAACCCGGGCCUUGACGUACCCCAGAANAAGCUC